CGAUUUCUCUCAAAUUCAAUCGACUGCUUCGACUUUGCUUCUCCGCUCGCUUCUCUGGUAAGGAUCUCCACUGCCGCUUUCUUUUUUUUUUUUCCAUUAAAGAUUCAUAUUGCAAAUCUUCUUCUUUAAUUUUUUCAAAGAACUCUUUAAUGUUUGUGGUUCUCUUAAUAUUCGUGAUUCUUUUACGAGAUAAAACAUAAAAUCAUGUCCUCUGAGUCAGAUCUGGAAUCCACCGUAACACUCAUUUAGGGAAAAGUCACCAAAAUCUAAGAUCCGUGUAAUCCUUUUUCGGUAACAAACGACCAAUAAAAAAUAUUAAAAAAGAAACCCAGAAAAUCCUCUGUGAAAAUAAAAAAACGAAAAGAGAUCAAAACCCUAGAUCUUGAAAUAAGACUGAUUACUUCUCCCUGGCUUUUCUGUAAUUAGGUUGUGUGGAGUUUUGCAUUUGAGAAUCUUGAAAUGAAUCUGUAAAAUGCAAUCUUUAUAAUGUUAUUAAGGUUUGAGCUCACCAUUACAACGUAAUGGCCUCAAACCCCAUGGAGGAGUCCUAAUCAUAAUGUAUCUUUGUUUUUUAACUGGGUACAAAUUGCAAUGGUGGUGGUUCUGCUAUUUGGGGUUUGAGGACUAAUUAUAAUGUAUAUAAUUUUCAUUUAGUUUGAGGACAAACUACAAUUGUAUAAUGGAUUGUAUUAUUACGGGUUCUCUGCGUUAUUAUGUUUGUUAUUUCAAUUAUUCGGGGCUUAUAGUUGAAAUUCCAAUGUAUAUUAUUUUUAUUGGAUGAGAAGCAUAUUGGGUUCUAUUAUUAUUAUAUAUAUUAUAUAUUUUUUCAAUUAAUUGUACUCAAAUUAUGGGUUUUGGAUCUUGUGGUUGUAUUCCAUAUUACAAUAUAUAUGUAAUAUUUGUAGGUGUCAAGUCUGUUUAUAGUUGAAAUUCCAAUGUAUAUUAUUUUUAUUGGAUGAGAAGCCUAUUGGGUUCUAUUAUUAUUAUAUAUAUUAUAUAUUUUUUCAAUUAGUUGUACUCAAAUUAUGGGUUUUGGAUCUUGUGGUUGUAUUCCAUAUUACAAUAUGUAUGUAAUAUUUGUAGGCGUCAAGUCUGUUUAUUUAUCUUAUAAUAUUGUUAUUAAGUUUUGUAAUAUUUUUUACAGGUUGUAUAUAAUAUUUAUAAGUUUUGAGCCUAUUGGAUUGUAUUUUUAUUAUUUUCGUCAUGAUAUUACCCACAUUAUUGUAUUUGGAUAAUGGAUUUCGGAUCAUUUGGUUGUAUUUCAUAUUAUAAUAUAUAUGUAAUAUUCAUAGGUAUCAAGCCUAUUGAAUUGUUUUAAUAUUGUUACGAAGUUUUGUUAUAUUUUUUAUAGGUUGUAUGUAAUAUUUAUAAGCUUUGAGCCUAUUGGAUUGUAUUUUUAUUAUUUUCGUCAUGAUAUUACCCACAUUAUUGUAUUUGAAUAAUGGAUUUCGGAUCAUUUGGUUGUAUUCCAUAUUACAAUAUAUAUGUAAUAUUCGUAGGUAUCAAGCCUAUUGAAUUGUUUUAAUAUUGUUACGAAGUUUUGUUAUAUUUUUUACGGGUUGUAUGUAAUAGUUAUAAAUUUCGAGCCUAUUUCGUUGUAAUAUUAUUAUUAUCACGAUGAUAUUACCCACAUUAUUGUAUUAGAAUAAUAGAUUUUGGAUCAUUUGGUUGUAUUCCAUAUUACAAUAUAUAUGUAAUAUUCAUAGGUAUCAAGCCUAUUGAAUUGUUUUAAUAUUGUUACGAAAUUUUGUUAUAUUUUUUACGGGUUGUAUGUAAUAGUUAUAAGUUUCGAGCCUAUUUCGUUUGUAAUAUUAUUAUUAUCACGAUGAUAUGACACACAAUAUUGUUUUUGAAUUAUGGGUUUCAAAUAUUUUAAUUUCAUUCAACAAUAUAAUGAAUGUAACGAAGCCCAUUGACUUGUAUUUUUUUUCUUAGAUAAUUAAACUAUAUUCUUAUUAUUAUGAAGUUUAUUAACUUUUAUGGGUUUUAUAAGUUGCUAAAUUCAGUUGUUAUUAUUAAUUUUUUUUUAAAGUUGUGGGCCGAGCACAAAUUAUAAUUUGAUUUUAACCAAGUUUAAGCGUAUGUUAUUUGUAAUAAUAUUUUUGCGAUGAAUUUCAUUAUUGUUAUUAUUUGUGAUGUAUUAUUGAGGGUUGAACCGAAUUGUAAUGCAUAUUAUAUUUUUUUGAUGUGUUUGUAAAAUUUAGUUGCAUCUAAAAUUGUAUUGACCGACAACAAAGUUUAAUCUUCAAAUUUUAACAAGCAAAUAAGAUUAAAUUAAAACAUUAUAAUAUUAAAAAUGUUAUACUAAGACAUUAUCAAUUUACUUCUUCAAUUUGAUGGUAAAUAAGACUUAAAUUGAAAUAAAAAAUAAACUGAAUUUUGUUGGUGAACAUAAUUUCUUAGUUUGUAAAUAAGAAUGUUAAUUAUUUGACAUACAAGUAUAUUUAUACAGUAUAUUGUGCUAUAUCCAGUAAUUAUAAUGUAUAAUAUUUGUGUAAAACAAUUAUCGUGUAUUGGUUUGCUAGAAAAUAGUAAUAUAAUGAAUUGUAUUCUCAAUUACAAUGAGUAUUUUUUUAGUGAGAUGAAAGUUGACGUAUUGUAAUAUUUUUAUCAGAAAGUUUCACCUACAAUUCGAUCAGAAAAAAUGAGUGCAACUACUUGCAGUUCAGUGAAAAAAAGAAAAAUUCCAAUGCAAAAACGUGAAACAAAAGAGCAGAGAGCUGUUACAUUCAGUAAAAGACGAACGGGUCUGUUUAACAAAGCAGCAGAAUUGUGUGUUCUCUGCAAUACUCAGGUUGUAAUUUUGGUUUCUGCUCCUUUGGCCAAAGAAAAGUUUUAUACUUUUGCACACCCUAACAUCAAUCUUCUUCUCGACACAUUCCUCAAUAACCAUGUCUCUCAUCCCAUCAACAAUUACAAUAAUCUUUCUACUUCUUCGUCUCAUCAAACUAUGGAGCAAUUAACUCCUAACAAUAAUGUGUCCAAGACCAAGAAGAGAAAGAGAGAGUCUGAAGAGUUUUGGUGGGAAAAUGAAGACUUUGAUGUUUACCAAACACCUGAAGAGGUGACAUCAAUCAUCGAGAAGUUAGAAAAGGUGAGAGAAAAUGUGGCGCUCAAACUUCAAAAAUUAUCAACUUCUAACAAUCGAGAUGUUAGUAGUAGUCAUCAUCAAAACUAUCAUCUUGAGUGCUUUGCUGAAAAUAUGAUGAACAUUAAUCAUGAGUACAACAAUGAGAGUGGUGAUCAAAGUCAGUUUAUGUCAUCAGUUGUGUUUCAAAAUUUAUCAACUUCUACUUAUCAUGGUAGUUGUAUUGAUCAAAAUAUAGUAGACAUUGAUGGAUACAAGAACUAUGUUGAUUUUAUGCAAAUGUUGCCUCUAAAAUCUACUAUGCUUACACACAAUACCAACAAUGGCAGCCAAGAUAUUGAGAAUUAUCACAAUGAUAUGGGUACUACAUUUGAAGCCCCAUUAUUCUUCUCUAAUGGCGUCGAAAAUUAUCAAGAUAUUAGUAGUGGUGAUCAUCAAAACUAUCAUCUUGGGUGCUUUGCUGAAAAUAUAAUGAAUAUUAAUCAUGAGUACAAUAAUGAAAGUGGCGAUCAGAGUCAGUUUAUGCCAUCUGUUGUGUUUCAAAAUUUAUCAACUUCUACUUAUCAAGAUGGUUGCAUUGAUCAAAAUAUGGUGAACGUUGAUGGAAACAAGAACAAUGUUGCUUUUAUGCAGAUGUUGCCUCUAAACUCUACUAUGUUUACACACAAUACCAACAAUGACACCCAAGAUAUUGAGAACUAUCACUAUGAUAUGGGUACUACAUUUGAACCCCCAUUAUUCUUCUCUAAUGGUGUCGAAAAUUAUCAAGAUAUUAGUAAUGAUCAUCAAAACUAUCAUCUUGGUUGCUUUGCUGAAAAUAUAAUGAAUAUUGAUCAUGAGUACAAUGAUGAGAGUGGUGAUCAAAGUCAGUUUAUGUCAUCUGUUGUGUUUCAAAAUUUAUCAACUUCUGCUUAUCAUGGUGGUUCCAUUGAUCAAAAUAUAGUGAACAUUGAUGGAAACAAGAACAAUGUUGAUUUUAUGCAAAUGUUGCCUCUAAAAUCUACUAUGCUUACACACAAUACCAACAAUGGCAGUCAAGAUAUUGAGAAUUAUCACAAUGAUAUGGGUACUACAUUUGAAGCCCCAUUAUUCUUCUCUAAUGGCAUCGAGAGAUGUGCUACGUCUUUUUGUAUUGGUGAUCAAAAUUUUAGUUGGAUGAAUGAUAAGAUCACUACUUCAUAUAGUCAAAAUGAACAAUUUUCACCGUCCAUCUCCUCCAAUGACUUGGAUCACCAUAUUAAUACUUCUUUUGAAUGGGAGUUCAGAGAUGAGAAUCCUUCAUUUCUUCAAGAUAAUGCUACUGGAUUAGUUCCACUAUUUUCUCAUAGUGAUAAAAGCAUAGACAAGCAGAAUUUGUCUGAAUCAAAUUUUAAAGAUAAUAAUUUUUCAGUUACUGGAGCAACAACUGACAAUGACUUGUUUCUUGGUGACGACUAUAUUAAUUCUUCAACAAUGGAGGAUAACACUGAAUUUUUUUCAUUGUUGGAAUAUUUCUUUUCUAGUUGAUUGUAAGCUUUCUCUGUAUUUCCUUUGCAGUGUAAUAAAAUGUUCUUGUGGUCUCUCAACUUUUUCUUUGGCAUAUUGAUCAUAAUAUAAUUCUUAUCAUCCACUAAAUGAUGAAGUAAAUAUGUACGGAAUCAAUAUUUAUAGUCAUCAACUAUGAGAUUAAAAAAAAAAUUCAUACAAAUAUUUUAUACUAAAACAAUCAACUGCAAACUUAAAAAUCUCCCAAAUUAACUUGAAUUAAGAGUUUAUUUUAUUUUACAUUUUAAAUUAAAUAGAUCUUAUUAUUUGGGUUCUUAAUUAGUUUUAAGUUUUUAAUUAAUUAUUUUUUAAAAAAUAUUUUUUUAAAAAAUUUAUUUAUUAUAAUAUAAUUUCAUAAUAUAAGGAUAUCGGCAUUUUAUUUUUUUAAAAAAAGAAUAUCAGCAUUUAUAAUCACUAUCAUUUUUUAUUUCUUUUUUCAGUUGAGGAAACAAAAAAUAAAUAUUAGAAUAUAUUCAAAAAUUAUUAUUAAAUAUGUCAAACUAUAAAAAUAUUUUAUAAAUUAAAGUUUGAGUGAAAACUAAACCAAGCAAACGUAAGUAAACACUUUACUAAAUAUAUGAAUUAAGCCAAUCGAACAAGCGAUUAAUAUAUUUAAGCUUACCGGUACAGAUUUUAUCCCAUAAUCAUUUUAGGGAUGAUUUAAAUUAAAAAUAUAUUUUUAUAAUAAUAUAUAUUUAAUUAAUAUAUUAUUUAAAUUAGAUCGAUUUAGUUAGAAAUUUAAUUAGACAGAAAAUUUAAUUAAAUUUUAAUACUAUUCAAGUUCGAUGAGAUUUUAGAUUUUAAAAUUAUAAGAUUAUAUCAAAAUCGAAGUUUGUAAAAUUCGCUCAAGACUCCAUCUAUUGUUACCCUAAACCGUGUUCAUACCAUAUUAGAAUUGAACUUUGUGAUUCAGCCGGUUGUUUGAACUUAUGAUGGUAUAGAAUCACACGGGUCCACCACCUUUAACUCAUUGAAGAAAAGCUAGACACAACCUUCAAAAAAUUUGAAAAAAGUUUGGAUGUAUCUUCUUUUAAAAGAAAUCAUUUUACCCUGUAAGUCUUUGUUUCUUUCUAAAAAUCUAUCUGGGUGUUACCAUGAAAAUGAUGAAGGCUGUGAAGAAGCUCAAAUUCUGGUCAAGAUCCAGGAAGAAAAGGAAGUACCUUGAGGAGCCCUUCUACCCUGUUCUGGCGCACCAUUGUUGUUGCCGUUCAUGCUCCUCCGUCCAGCCCUCAGCUCCACCAUGGCCUGGUGAAUUCUCAUAUCAGAUUCAAGCUGAUGAAACAGAAAGUGUAGAAGAAAGUAAAUUAAUCCAUUCAAAAUUACCUCAAGUAGACGAAGUUAUAAUCACGAGUAGGUCAAUGUAUCAGCAAUAUAUGGUUGAAAAUCCUGUGUAUGACAUGCCUGAGCCUGUUGUUGAGAUAGUUAGAAGAGAAAGAUCAGGCGGGUACGUUCUUCAGCUGGGUUCUUGUCUGAUCCGCUGCUUCUGCCCAUGUUUCAGUACAGAAGAAGCUCAGUAAAAAAGUGAUUUUGUUAAAUUGUUAGCUUACUUCUUCCUCUAUUUUCUUCUUUUUUUUUUCUUUAAAUUCAGCAAUAGUAAAAAUAUGUUUCUGGAUAUUUUUUUUUGUAAAAAUGCAUUGUCAGUCUUAACUCUGUUGUAUCUAAUAUUUUAACGUAAUAUAAACUUUUAAUAAAAAUUCAUACCUAACUUUGGUUGCAUUCAUACCAAGCGCGGGCAAGAAAGAGCCCCAGCCAACUCCGCUCUGGACGCUAUGAGCUUCUCUAUGCAAUUCUUUAUCUCUUUCUGACUAUUUGUUCUCUGUGUAUUGCUCCUGCAAAAAAGCCAAGCAAAUAAGAGAAUCAAUGAACAAAAAAGUAGUCCUCAAAGAUGCUCAGAUUUAAAAAUACGUAAAGCCGGUGAUUCCGAGUUAUAACGACCUUGCUUCCAGGGGAAAACCAUUCUAGCAUUCCAAUAAUUUUAUCUAAUUCUUCCGAGUCAUCCAAAUCAUCAGGAACAACAAGACUCCUAUAAAGCAUAUAAUUCUUUUGAUCUUACUAAUCCCCUCAUCAACAUUGUUCAACUUGUAUUUUUAAAUCUUGAUAAAUGACCUUGGUGUGAUGUUAUCUGGUGCACAAACAUGUAGUAACUGAUUAAUAGACAAAUUAUCCGCUUAGUGAAUCAACUUUGAUGUAGCCAAUCAAACUAUAUGCCGGAAAUUUUCUGAUUUUAGACUCUGCCAUCACUUUCCUCCAAUUAGCAGCAUCUCCCCACCUUUCCCCAACAGCACUUCUAUUUGACAACACCACAUAUCGGCCACAAUGUUUUGGCUGUAAUUCAAGGACCUUCUUUCCUACCAUUUUCCAACUGAACCUCCCCAUGAAUCUUACAAGCACCAAAAAGAGCCCCUAAAACAGAGGCAUCAGGCAUGAAGGGCAUGCUAAGUGCAAACCCAACUGCAUCUCUCAGAAUUCCUGCUCUGUCCAAUAGAUCAACAACACAACCAUAAUGCUCCAUUAUUGGUACAACCCAAUAUCGACUUGACAUUGACGGAAACAACUUCAAACCCAAGUCAACAAGUUUAGCUCGAGCACAAGCAGUAAGAAUAGCAACAAAGGUAACCUCAUUGGGGCAAAAUCCUUGCGCUUUCAUCUUCUCAAACAUAUAUAGAGCUUGCUUCCCCCUACCAUUGCAGUCCAAGUGAAAACCUCUUUAACCUCUAUCCGAUUUAAUACUCUUAUUGCAGUCUCCAAACAACCUGCCUUUCCAUACAAAUCUACCAACGCAGCCCCCACGACAGCGCUCAAACAUAUCCAUGUAUCUGCUUCCCUUGAUAAAGACCAGUUCCAUCUAAAUUAGCACAAGAAGACAGCACGGUAACAAAUGCAGCCUCAUUAGGCUUCACGGAACCGCGGACCACAUCCUCGUGAACCACCAUCUUUGCCAAAAGUGGCAAUGCAUCAACAAAGCGUCCAUUCAUCACGAACCCAUUAAUAACACUCGUCCAUGAAACCACGUCCUUCUCAUUAAACACCACAAUACAUGGAUGGGGAAUUUCCACAAACAUCUUACGUGCAUUGAGUAUGUCACACACUUCGGCAACUCCACCCUCACGCAUGAAGUUUGCACAUAUGGGUCGCAUAAAACACCCCAUUUGAGAGCCUGAGCAUGGAGAAUUGAGCCAUAUGAGGGAGAGCAAGAAGCAGCUUUGAUUAGAGAUGGGAAAGUGAGAUGGUUUGGUGAAAGUCCAUGCGCAAUCAUGCGGGUGAAAAGUAGUAAAGAAGUACGAGAGAGUCCCGUAGAGAGAUAAGAUCAAAUGAGAGUGUUGUAAAUGAGAACGGUGUUCCAUGAAGAAGUGUGGUUGAGGAGAGAGCCGCGGGUGAUAAGAAGGGAAUGAAUCUGUUUGAUCUGGUUGGGACAGUGGAUGAAAUGCUGGAGAAGAAGCUCUGGACUUGAAUAUCCAGAAAACCCACCUGUUACCAGAAGCUUUAAAAUCAAAACUUGAUUACAUGCCUGUUCUUGUCCACCAUCUGCCCAGUUCAUAUAUUAUUAGCAUUCUUGUUCAUAUUUGUUAAUUACAAGAUUUUUGGAUCAAAUUAACAUUUUCUCAUGCUUCUUUCAAUUCAUAUAUAUAUAUAUAUAAAUUUAAUUCCAACCAAAAAUGAAGAAAAUUCUUUUAGUUUACAACUAUUUUUCAAUCUUUAUAGGUUUUCUAACAAAAAACAAAUCCUACGUUUAGAAUUUUUAUUUAGUUUUUAACACUGUGUAUAUUCAUUAAAAUCGAGUCUAAAAGAAUUAUGAACUCAUCUUGAAAAAAAACUUUAACAUUAACAAGAUCGAGAACAAAAUUAAUAUUUUAAGUUAUAAAACUUACACAUUAAAAACUAGAAAACAACCAACCCUAACACCCAAAGAAAAGAAAGCGAUAAAAGUAUCCAUGAAGGUUCGGCUCAUUGACAAUCACAAAUUACCAUCUUCAAUUUUUGACAAUAAUCAUAAAUUACCCUUUUCGAAAAUUCUUAUAUUUCAUUUCGGUCCUUCUAUCUUCAUUUCUCCGCUAAUUUUCUAUAAUGAUUAAUUUGCAAUCGUUAUGCUUGCAACAUCAUUGUGAAAAUUGUCUACCACUGUGCAAUAUGCUUGCAGUCAAUUGCUUCAGACUUUUGGAGUAUUUGACUCGAUCAUCUUAUAUGCAUAAAUAAUAUAGUAAUACCCCACUCAUUUAGAGUGUUAUCUUGAGGUUGUAGGUUUUAGAGAGACUUUUUAAAAAGCAUGAGAUUGUCAAAUCUUACUAAUUGAACACUAGCUCAGAGUUCUACAACAAAGAAAAAAAAAAAUUGACAGCCAAACUAUUACCAUAACCUUCGUAAAAUACAUUUUUGUGUAAAACUUUGAGCUUCACAAGACUAGGGCAAAGAACAAGUUCAUCUAUUGUUAGUUCCGGGCUAUAAUAUAUGAAUGUUCAUGCAUAAGCCUAUGGGAAGUAAGUCAUGCAAGAGGUCAGAAGAAAGGGAACAUACAAUAUGGGAUUUUGUCGGUAGCAAGAUUCUAGUGAACAGAUUGGAGCUGCUAGCGGUAGCUGCUGUUUUACUCAUACGACUUUAUGUAUCUUGUUUAGGUGGAGUAUGGUAUUUAGUGAAAAAUAUUUCAUCAGGAAAGAAUGAGACUUGCCUUAUAAAGACUUUGGGUAUUGCAGUUUUACUGUUUUGUUUCGGCAAUGGAGUGCUUAGUGCUGGUUCAAGUUUUGGGUAAAGACUGAAAACUAGUCAGCUCCACCUUCCUUGCAUGAUAUUAAUCAAGGGCUAUAUGCUCUUCCAUCUCAAGUUGUUUUUCUUUUUUGUUCCUUUUAUUUUUUCUACGAAUGAGCUGGAUGAAAUAGUACGGUUGGCUUCUAUAUAUAAAUAAUAUAUACCUUUAAUCUCUUUUGAUUUUCGGUACAUGAAUAUAUGACUUGUGAACAGCUUCUCCUGAAGGAAAUUAUUGAAGCAGGUAGUCUCUUUUAUUUUAUCUUAUUUCAACUUAUUCUUCUAUUGAUCCGAAUACAUAUUUAAGUUAUUUUGUUUUUCUUUUCGAGAUUUUCUAUAGUUUUUUAUGUGAUUAUUCCUUACUGAGUAUCCUAUUAUGGUAUAGAUUGGAAUAUAAUAAGUAAUAAUUUUUCAUUACUGCUAUCAAUGAACAUUAAUUAGAUAAGUUGUAAGGGAAUAUAUAUACUAUUCUAUUUUUUCUAUUCUGAGUUUGAUUUAUUAAGGGGAGUUUAGGAAUCAGAAUCCUAAAUUCAUUAGAUCAAUGUGGAAGAGUCAUUAAGUUAACAUUUUGAGACAAUAAAAUAUUUUUAUUAAAUAUUAGUGCAAUUUAAUUUGUUGUUUUAAAUUUAAUUUAUUAGUAUUAUUUGUGAUAUUGUUUCAAAAUUAUUUUAAAAAAAAUCAUGUCUUCAUAUAAUAUUUAACCUUCACCUUGAAAAAAUUAAAAUAAUGAUAUAUUUAAUUAACUAAUUUGAUAAUAUACAUUCAAUUUAAUAUUUAUUCGUAUAGUCGUAUAAUUUAAUAAAUUAUUAAAUAUAAAGAUAAAGAUAUAAGAUAUUUAUUAUUAAGUAUACUUUUAUAAUAGCUUUAGUUUCAAAGUUUGAUUUAAUAGUUAAAUUUAAUUUUUAGGAAAAAUAAAUAAUAAUUUUUAAGUAUAUAUUUUAUGAUUUUUUUGGUAUUUUUAAUUUGUUUGUUAUACAUUAUUAUUUUGCUUGCAAAUUAUAGUUAUAAUUAUAAUAUAAUUAAAUUAAUUUAAUAGCCCAGUUUUUUCCAACCCAUAACCUACAAACGACAGCGUUUUGGAAGAGGUUAUUGGCGGGAAGGGGGAGGGUUUAAAGGGAAUUUAGAAAGGUUUAGGGGCAAAAUUGGAAAUACAGCUGUUCCCAACGGUCUUCUUCUCUCUAUAUAUAUUGCACCGACCACUCCAUUCUUCUCUACUCAGCUUUCAGACAGAUCACAUUCCUUCUUCCCUUUCCUCCCGAUUCUCUCUGUUCAUUGGAAGCGUUUCGUUUCCUUCCGAUUUCUCUCAAAUUCAAUCGACUGCUUCGACUUUGCUUCUCCGCUCGCUUCUCUGGUAAGGAUCUCCACUGCCGCUUUUUUUUUUUUUUUCCAUUAAAGAUUCAUAUUGCAAAUUUUCUUCUUUAAUUUUGUCAAAAAAACUCUUUAAUAUUUGUGGUUCUUUUAAUAUUCGUGAUUCUUUUACGAGAUAAUACAUAAAAUCAUAUUCUCUGAGUCAGAUCUGGAAACCACCGUAGCACUCAUUUAGGGAAAAGUCACCAAAAUCUAAGAUCCGUGUAAUCCUUUUUCGGUAACAAACGAGAUUUAGCGUUUUGCUUAUGACCAAUAAAAGAUACUGGAAAAGAAACCCAGAAAAUCCUCCAUGAAAAUAAAAAAACGAAAAGAGAUCAAAACCCUAGAUCUGGAAAUAACACUGAUUACUUCUCCCUGGCUUUUCUGUAAUUAGGUUGUGUGGAGUUUUGC
rnacentral:lncRNA from 1 species